AACGCGAAGAACCUUACCUGGGCUCGAAAUGUAGUGGAAUAGGGUGGAAACAUCCUAGGCUCGCAAGAGACUGCUAUAUAGGUGCUGCAUGGCUGUCGUCAGCUCGUGUCGUGAGAUGUUGGGUUAAGUCCCGCAACGAGCGCAACCCUUAUUGCCAGUUGCCAUCGGGUCAAGCCGGGCACUCUGGCGAAACUGCCUCGGAUAACGGGGAGGAAGGUGGGGAUGACGUCAAGUCCUCAUGGCCUUUAUGUCCAGGGCUACACACGUGCUACAAUGGUCGGUACAAACCGUUGCAAACCCGCGAGGGGGAGCUAAUCGGAAAAAGCCGGCCUCAGUUCGGAUUGGAGUCUGCAACUCGACUCCAUGAAGCUGGAAUCGCUAGUAAUCGCAGAUCAGAACGCUGCGGUGAAUACGUUCCCGGGCCUUGUACACACCGCACUACUA
rnacentral:rRNA from 1 species